AACAACUCACCUGCCGAAGCAACUAGCCCUGAAAAUGGAUGGCGCUCUAGCGUCGUGCCUAUACCGGGCCGUCAACGGCAAAGUGGGCUAGUGCCCCGUCGGUUAACGCCGGCGGGCUUGGCCGUUAAGCCUUGACGAGUAGGAGGCGCGCGGCGGUGUGCGCAGAAGGGUCUGGGCGCGAGCCUGCCUGGAGCCGCCGUCGGUGCAGAUCUUGGUGGUAGUAGCAAAUACUCUAGCGAGGGCCUGGAGGGCUGAUGUGGAGAAGGGUUUCUUGUGAACAGCCGUUGCACAAGAGUCAGUCGACCCUAAGCCCUAGGAGAAAUCCGAUGUUGAUGGGCAGCGAUCAUGCGGCUGGUUCGGUUGGUGCGCCAAAAACGCGCCGCUGCCGGCCUACCGACUGCUCCCGUCGGGCGAAAGGGAAUCCGGUUCCUAUUCCGGAACCCGGCUGCGGAACCGUAACUUAGCGGGCACUCGCCUGCGAGCGCUCGUCGGGGUAACCCAAAAUGACCCGGAGACGCCGGCGGGAGGUCUGGAAAGAGUUGUCUUUUCUUUAUAAGCGUUCGAGUUCCCUGGAAUCCUAUAGCAGGGAGAUAGGGUUUGGAACGCGAAGAGCACCGCAGUUGCGGCGGUGUCCGGACCUUCCCCCCGGACCUUGAAAAUCCGGGUGAGGGCUACGCGGAAAUGUCGCGCCGGCUCGUACCCAUAUCCGCAGCAGGUCUCCAAGGUUAAGAGCCUCUAGUCGAUAGAAUAAUGUAGGUAAGGGAAGUCGGCAAAUU
rnacentral:rRNA from 1 species